GUUUAUCAAAAACAUCUCCAAUCCCGCGGUUGGUAGACUCUGCUCAAUGAUUAUAAAUAGCCGCAGUAUUUUAACUGUGCUAAGGUAGCAUAAUAAUUAGGCUUUUUAUAAAAGUCUAGUAUGAAAGAGCUGACGACUCCCAGGCUUUCCUGGUUUAGGGUUGUAAAUUUAUUUUUAAGUAAAAAAGCUUAACUAUCUAGAAAGACGAUAAGACCCUAUAAAGCUUUCACUGAUAAAAGCUGCGCGAAAAGAGUUCAGCGCCGGUUUGAUCAGUUGAGCUGGGGCGGCAAUUAAAUUUCUUUAAUGAAGAAAACAAAAUAUCUGAGUGAAUAGAUCUAAAAAGAAAUAGAAUAAGCUACUUUAGGGAUAACAGCGCAAUCUUUUUAUAGAGAACGUAUCGAUAAAAAGGACUUGCGACCUCGAUGUUGAAUUGAGGGGCCUAAAUUAAGCAAAAAUAAUUUAAGGGAGUCUGUUCGACUUUUAAUUCCUCACGUGAUCUGAGUUCAGACC
rnacentral:rRNA from 1 species